AUGAUGAAGUACAGUGUAUGGGACAUCUCCUUCAACAAUAGGCUCUAUGAUAACUGGGAGAAUGGAUGGGUAAGGCAUUGCGAGACUCUGAGCGCGAGCCCGUACCCACCUAAGGUAAGGCUCAAGGGGAAUGGAACUCUUGUGCCCAAAUGUCCUACUGUCCACCUUGCUUACCAUCCUCCAGGCUCGUAUGAACCUCCAACGGUAGUCUUGAUUGUCACUUUCAUAGUUGAACACUACACCUUGGAUGAGUGUGUCAUGUGGACCAUCUCUUCAUGCGUACCCAAACUGUCACAGAUCUAA